CAUCACGGUAGUUGGAGGGAUCCUUCUUUGUGUGAUUUCAGAUCUGGAUUUAGGAUUUAAGGGGGGCUGGAUUUGCUGUGGCGAUUCUUCUUCAGCUGAGGAUUGAAUGAGGAAGGCUAUUAAGGACUUUGAUGUGGGAUGUUCAUCACGAUGUGGGAUUUAUGUUAUCAUGAUCGACAGAUAAAGG